GAAAGAACUGCCAGAAACCUCUUCUGGGAGAUCAAGGUUUGAGAGGGACAAAAGGGAUGAAGAAGAUCCAGAUCAGCCCCUUGCUAUCCAAUUCGGUAUGUUGCCUCCUGUCAUGGCCAAUAAUUACCUACUGGCCAAUGAGUUCAAAAAUAAGGAAAAAGAAGAAGAGAGGGAGGACAACGAAGGAGAAGCCUGCGUGCUGGUAUGUGAAGAAGGCCAGACUUCUGGAGAGGCCUACAACGAUGAAGAGGACGAUGGGAUGACAGACAUUGAAGAAG
rnacentral:lncRNA from 1 species